UACGAAGGGGGCUAGCGUUACUCGGAUUGACUGGGCGUAAAGGGCGCGUAGGCGGUUUGUACAGUCAGACGUGAAAUUCCUGGGCUCAACCUGGGGGCUGCGUUUGAUACGUGCGGACUUGAGUGCGGAAGAGGGUCGUGGAAUUCCCAGUGUAGAGGUGAAAUUCGUAGAUAUUGGGAAGAACACCGGUGGCGAAGGCGGCGACCUGGUCCGAUACUGACGCUGAGGCGCGAAAGCGUGGGGAGCAAACAGG
rnacentral:rRNA from 1 species